AUUGAACGCUGGCGGCAGGCCUAACACAUGCAAGUCGAACGGUAACAGGAAGACGCUUGCUUCUUUGCUGACGAGUGGCGGACGGGUGAGUAAUGCCUGGGAAACUGCCUGAUGGAGGGGGAUAACUACUGGAAACGGUAGCUAAUACCGCAUAACGUCGCAAGACCAAAGAGGGGGACCUUCGGGCCUCUUGCCAUCGGAUGUGCCCAGAUGGGAUUAGCUAGUAGGUGGGGUAACGGCUCACCUAGGCGACGAUCCCUAGCUGGUCUGAGAGGAUGACCAGCCACACUGGAACUGAGACACGGUCCAGACUCCUACGGGAGGCAGCAGUGGGGAAUAUUGCACAAUGGGCGCAAGCCUGAUGCAGCCAUGCCGCGUGUAUGAAGAAGGCCUUCGGGUUGUAAAGUACUUUCAGCGGGGAGGAAGGGAGUAAAGUUAAUACCUUUGCUCAUUGACGUUACCCGCAGAAGAAGCACCGGCUAACUCCGUG
rnacentral:rRNA from 1 species